rnacentral:misc_RNA from 1 species
AGGAGAUGGAGAAAAGAAUAGCUGAUAUGAUAAAGGAGAUGGAAAUGCUGAGAGAUAAGCUAGCAGGAGUAGAAAUAGCAAAAGAAGAGGCUAAUAGUCUGUCAAAUAUCGUCCACUCUGACAAUGUACGCCUUGAACAUGAUGUUGCUUUUCUCAAAGCAGUUUUGGAUGACACUCAAAAGGAGCUUCACUCUACUAGGGGAGUCCUUGCUGGAG